rnacentral:lncRNA from 1 species
UAUUGUUCAAAUACUAAACAAAUUGUAUUGUGUAUAUGUAUUGUUUUUUGUUAACAACACAGUACGUAAGCCUGAAGGAAAUGAGCCUGGCUAUGAAAAUGCUUAUUUGUUGGGAGGGUGCUUGUCUGGAUCGAUGAUGAGAAAAACUGUCUGAGGAUGCUGAGGGACUCAUUCCAGAUGUCAAUCUGAGGUCCAGAUAAAUGCCCCUCUUACCGGACAAAUAAGAACCUCAGAGCCUGGCUUUGACUACAUAACACUGCUAAGGACUGAAAUGAGGGCCUCUACUUCAGAGAACAGGGGUGAAGUUGCCAGGCAUGACUGUGCGUCACCCAGGAGACAAAGCCCCACCCAUAAAGUGGUGACUCGAGGCGCAAGGGAGUCCGGCGAGAAGUGUGGCGGGCCCAGGUUGCUGCCAGUUCUUUUAGGAUCACCGAGCAGGGUACGCCUUCCCCUGCCCCAAGAUGUGUCAUGGAUUUCGGCUUUCCUGGGACUACCUGAGUGCCUGUGACGUUGCCAGGUAUGACUGCCUGUCACCCAGGAUACAAAGCCCUGCCCGUGAGGUGGUGAUUCAAGGUGCAAAGGAGUCCAAAAGAAGUGUGGAGGGCCCAGGUUGCUACCUCUACUCUUUGGGUCACUGAGCAUGGAAUGCCUUCAGCUGCCCCAAGAUAUGUCAUGGAUUUACAGUUUCCUGGGACUGCCUGAGUAGCUGUAAGUUUACAUGGACUGUUCUUGCUGAGAAGCCUAGGAGCUCUGAGUUCCCCCAGCUGCUCGGGGACUCCCAGGUCACUUGCUCCUUCUGGGGGCUGGCCUUCCUUCCUGGCUAAAGUGUACAGCAAACCAGCAGGUGCUCAGAUUGAUGAUGGCACCCUCACAUGUGUUCCCUGGAAAAUCUAAACAAAAUGAGUGAGAAAUUGAUAUCAUCUCCUCAUCGAAACAAGGUCUAGCAUGUUGUCUCCUCUGGGGCUAAGGGCAGGACUAGUUAGAAGUGUGGGCAGCUUCAGUUGUGUCACACACAUGCAUAGAGCACUGGGGUCACCACCACUUUCGAGGCUCCUGUCAGAGGGUGGGCAUGUACAGAUGUUUGAGCAGUCUUGGAAUGAGAGCUUCAUGGUGAAUGCCACUGAGGAACAGAAGAGGCUUGUCCAAUGGCGAUAGUAGUCACAGUAGAUCCUGGCCUAGUCCCAUUGAGCUCUUGACUUGAAAAGGCACAUUUCAUCCUGGUUCCUGCUAUGAGUGCACUAGUUGGGGCUGUGCUGAUGUGGAAGCUGAAGCAAGGAAACUUCUAUGAUUUCUGAUUGGAGCCCCAGGUCAGAUCUGAGGCCCUUGCCAUUGCAGCCCUUUUGGUUGGUGAGAUUCCUGAGUGGCCUGUGUACUGUAACGGUUGCAGGGACCUCGUGGAACGUUGGCAGGGGUGAAAGGAAAUAGGCCUAGUUUCUUGGCAGUUCCUGUAUUGCAACUCCUGUCACAGUGUUGAGUCUUGCAGGACACUGUGGACUGUGAGGUGAUCC